GAGAGAGAGAGAAACAUUAUUCUAAUGGUAAAACUUACUGUACAUGUGUCACGCAAGGGAACAUAUGUGUGGAGGCCCAUUUGAUCACCUGAAGAUUAACCUGGAGAAAACAUGUGCCAGUCACCAUGGAGAUUAAUGAAAUAAUAUGUGGACCCCACAGAAGAUCUCAAACUGUCAGAGAAGGAGAUUCACCAGUCGCACAGUUUCACUUCCUGACAGUCAAGAUGCUUAUGUGUCGUAUCUGCGGCUGUCCUGCAGAGAAACUCGAACCCGCAGCCCUAAUGGGCCGUUUGGGGGAUGCUGAUUGGCAUAUCCGACGAGUCCUGUCGGUUGUUUUCUCUGUGUCCAGCCCAGCUCCUGCUUCUGUUAGUCUGAGGCGUGCAUUUUCCUCUGUUAAUGGUCCUGCAGCACCAAACUUUCUGGUGAUCGCUGUUUAAUUGCUGCCUGUGUCAGUGGGAUGCUGCAUCAGCCCCGAGAGAAGCGGCCAAAUGAGACACGCAUCAAACACGAGCGGAGGCCGCGAUGAUGAAGAUGAAGGUCGGCUGUUUACUCAUUACAUAUCAUGUGUGUGCGGCGGAAGCAGUGGGACUCAGUCCUUGGCACAUCAAAAUGGGGCUCACUCACAUACACAUCAUUAGUGCCAUGAGAAUGGCAUAAAUGAGGCCCACACACUCAGCAUCUAAUGGUUUGUGUCUGGGGGCAAUUCUUUUAGCGAUGUCAUAUGGAAAAACAGCAUGAUAACAGUAAAAAUAUGUGAAACUGUC